rnacentral:rRNA from 1 species
GACGAAACGCUGGCGGCGUGCUUAAACACAUGCAAGUCGAGCGGUAAGGCCCUUUCGGGGGGUACACGAGCGGCGAACGGGUGAGUAACACGUGGGUGACCUGCCCUUAGCUCUGGGAUAAAGCCUGGGAAACUGGGUCUAAUACCGGAUAUGACUCCAUGACGCAUGUUGUGGGGUGGAAAAGCCUUGUGCGGCUAGGGAUGGGCCCGCGGCCUAUCAGCUUGUUGGUGGGGUGAUGGCCUACCAAGGCGACGACGGGGUAAGCCGGCCUGAGAGGGCGACCGGCCACACUGGGACUGAGACACGGCCCAGACU